rnacentral:lncRNA from 10 species
UGGCAGGCUGAGGCAGGAGAAUCAGGCAGCAGUACCGUCCAGCUUCAGCUCGGCAUCAGAGGGAGGCCGUGGAGAGAGGGAGAGGGAGACCGUGGGGAGAGGGAGAGGGAGAGGGACAGAGGGAGAGAGGGAGAGAGGGAGAGGGCAGGAUUUUUUUUAAGUAAGAAUUCUUUACCAAUCCUUCUUUCCCCAACAUAAAAUCUCCUAUUUGAAGUGAAGUUUGAGGUAGGGACUCGAGAGGCAGUGCCUCAAGAAAGCCACACAUUGUACAAUGGAGAGCAGGGAUGAAAACAUUGUAUAGAA